rnacentral:rRNA from 1 species
GACGAACGCUGGCGGCGUGCCUAACACAUGCAAGUCGAACGGGGAGUUACUUGUAACUCCUAGUGGCGAACGGGUGAGUAACGCGUAGACAACCUGCCUCUAAACUGGGGACAACACCGCGAAAGUGGUGCUAAUACCGAAUGUGGUAACUUGAUCGCAUGAUCGAGUUAAGAAAGAUGGCCUCUAUUUAUAAGCUAUCGAUUAGAGAUGGGUCUGCGUCUGAUUAGCUAGUUGGUGGGGUAAUGGCUCACCAAGGCGACGAUCAGUAGCCGGUCUGAGAGGAUGAACGGCCACACUGGGACUGAGACACGGCCCAGACUCCUACGGGAGGCAGCAGUGGGGAAUCUUCCGCAAUGGACGAAAGUCUGACGGAGCAACGCCGCGUGAGUGAAGAAGGUCUUCGGAUUGUAAAGCUCUGUCGUUUGGGACGAACGUGAACUGUGUGAAUAAUGCAGUUUAAUGACGGUACCAAAGGAGGAAGCCACGGCUAACUACGUGCCAGCAGCCGCCGUAACAC